UAACACCUGACGCACGACAGGUCCAUGAUACAGCAUUCCAGGUACAAGAAUAUUCAUCAAAUAGAUGUCUAUAUGAUUACAUCAGUGAUGAAUAUAAUCUUGUGGCAUAGCCCUAAUGCUAUUUACAUGGUAGCGGAAGUCUAUUUAAAUGGCGGCGGAAGUGUUGGCAGCAUAUCACUCUGGUUGGGCUCCACAACUCAUAGGACUGGCAAGAUUAUGGCCUAGCACGACAGAACAAGUGAACGACCUACAAAUCUGGCAUGACACGCCAGGUCAGUACAUUGAAUAUACUUGCAAGACAACGAAAUACAUAGCAUCCAAACAAACAGAUGACAAAGAAGGAACCAGGCGUAUGCAACAACUAUCUCAUAUUAGAAACUAAGCAUGGCAUGAUAUCAACCAAAGACAUAAAUCAAACUAACAUCAUGGCAUCCACUAGCAUGGCAACCACAUGGCAUAGCAAAUUUAUCUCUAACAUGGCAACAACAAAACAUAGCAUAUCAUCUCAAUCAUAUCAAUCAAAGCAUGGCAUGGCAUCAUGAAACUAUUUUGAAAAUAAGCUACCGGUCAUAUCCAAUGCAAACACAACAUGUUGUCUUCAUGCAAUCAUCCCAUGCAAAUAAAAACUUACUAAUCAUGCAAUGCAACCAAACUUGUGCAUCGAGUCCCUCGGACUCUCUUACCAAUGGUGAUCUACUAAUUUCUUGAUCACAAAUAGAGACCAACUCGUGAUCCUUACGGCGAUCACCACCCGACCAACAAAUGCCCCUUGAUCCUGACGGCGAUCACAACCACAUUAAUCAGUUUAAUUAUUUAAGGUUUAUCCUCCAUUUCAACCAAGACACGAUAGUGUAUCCUACUAUGAACUUCUGCCCAUGACCGAGGACGCGGCUAUCGAUAGUUUAAAUACACUCUGCAGAGGUAGCGCACUGUACCCACACCACAGAACCCAUGGGCUCGUCGUCCCAUUCGGGUAGACCAACGAUGUUCCGACAAAACCGAUCUACUGCCAUGACACUCUCCCGGCCACUCUGACUCACUCCCCUCUGGGCUAAGUCAUGGGUGGCCCUGUGUCUACUUCAAGACAACUCAAACCACCGUCGUGGCAAAACAUAAACGAUCCCCCACGGGGACAACAGCGUGCAAAAUCCAACUACUCGCACACAAGGCUUAUGUCCGCCUACCUGAUCAGGGUAACGCGUGCCCAUAACCUUCCCUCGUUGGAGGCACCGGCGAGAGGCACGACAAUAGACCGCAUUAGGGCCGUACCAUACCGGCAAAUGUGGUUGCACUGGAAAAGUUCGAUUUGGCAGCACUAUGACUAGAUCCCAUCGAUGAUGGAGGAGGCUUGUUAUCAUUAAGUCAUUUUAUUACCUUCUCCAACAUCAAUCAUCAUGCAAGCAUUUUAACAUGAAUGCAACCAUGACCAUACAUCAUACAAAUGCUUUAAUAACAUAUCGAACUUCUCAAGUGAACAACUACAGGAACAUAACAGUACCAAGUUCUAACUUGUCCAUGGUGUAUCAUAGCAUUUUAUAACGAUGACAUUAAAAUAAAGUAUAGUAGUGACAUGGCAUUAUCAAUAUCAACAUUGUAACUAGCAUGGCAAGAGAUAGCAUAAAAGCACAGGCAUGCAUGGUAAGCACAACAGAAUAACUGCAGAUAAACACAAUAAGCAACAACUGCAUCUACACACGCACAAGGUGCAAGCAAUGUCAACAUGCAAGUUCGGAGCUCAUGAUAAGAGGUUGGCUUGCCUGUGGGCGACAAAUACUCCGGGAAAAAGUGAGAAACGACCGCAAAUUUUUUUGCCGGAAACAGUUCCCUCUCGGAGGGGGCUGUUUACAGACAAAGGCAAAUUGGUCAUUUUCAUAGUGUCAAACCAUAGUGAAAAUGGCGGGUACAGAACGGGCUCGACGAAACAAAAACAUGGGUGUUGGAUUUACCUCAAUUCGAGUUACGGUUGUCAAGAUACGAAGGGUUGUAGUUCAGGGACCUAUCGGUGAAAAUAUUUCAGCAAACAGGCCAGUGGAGGAAAAAAAUUGAUUGCGCAUUUCAGAGAUUACGCCUUCGGUCAGGGAAAACAGCUCACGGCAAGGGCGCUUCCACUUGAAUGACGUGGUGACGACCGGGUCAAAGCGGCAGCAGCGUGGCCGGGCGCCUGGGCCGCCGACAGGUCGGGCCGCGGGGCCUGCCUGGCCAGGUCAACGCUUGUGGCUGGCUCCUUAUUCUCCCGACGCACAUGACCGAGGGAUGACGCCCACCCAGACGGAGCUCGCCGGCGCGUCCGGCCACGGCAGCGGACGGGCGACCUACCGAAAUGCUCGGGAAGACAAGGGG
rnacentral:lncRNA from 1 species